GCUAGUGUAGCAGAGCCCGGCAAUGCAAAAGACUUAAACCCUUUACAUCAGAGGUUCAAAUCCUCUCCCUAGCU
rnacentral:tRNA from 1 species